rnacentral:rRNA from 1 species
AAGUAAAAGUCGUAACAAGGUUUCCGUAGGUGAACCUGCGGAAGGAUCAUUAUUGAAAUAAACCUGAUGGGUUGUUGCUGGUUCUCUAGGGAGCAUGUGCACACUUAUCAUCUUUAUAUCUCCUCCUGUGCACCUUUUGUAGAUCUGGAUAGCUUUCUGAAUGCCUAGCAUUUGGAUUUGAGGAUUGACUUUGCUGUCUUUCUUUACUUUCAGGUCUAUGUUUCUCCAUAUACCCCAAUGUAUGUUAUAGAAUGUAAUAAAAGGGCCUCUGUGCCUAUAAAUCUAUACAACUUUCAGCAACGGAUCUCUUGGUUCUCGCAUCGAUGAAGAACGCAGCGAAAUGCGAUAAGUAAUGUGAAUUGCAGAAUUCAGUGAAUCAUCGAAUCUUUGAACGCACCUUGCGCUCCUUGGUAUUCCGAGGAGCAUGCCUGUUUGAGUGUCAUUAAUAUAUCAACCUCUACAGCUUUGUUUGUUGAGUGUUGGAUGUGGGGGUAUUCUUUUUGCUGGUCUUUCUUUUGAGAUCAGCUCUCCUAAAAUAUAUUAGCGGGACAAUUUGUUAACCGUUCAUUAGUGUGAUAACUAUCUACGCUAUUGACGUGAAACAGGUUCA